rnacentral:lncRNA from 1 species
AAAUAAUUCAAACAAAUAUGUAGAAUUCCCUAGUUUUGAGGAUUGAGUAGUGAGUGGUGUGGAUAAUGCUACUACUAACACCCUAACUCAUAUUUAGAUGAGGAUUUAAAAAAUAAAAUAACAAAACAAGCAUUGACUUUAGUUUGGCCUGCAUCUUCGAUCUGCCUCAAUUAAAUCGUUGUUUCUCUUUUUCCUUUCUUUCGUCGGAAUUGCCAAGGGACAGAGAACAGAUGUGGUCUCUAAUUAUUGUACUGCUGUUUCUAAUCUCAGAGGUACUAGGAUUAAACCAUCCAUUACAGUAUUAAACCAUCUAAAACCAGUCACAAGUACCAAAAUCAUUAAAAAACAAAAAAGAUGCAAGUCUACAAUACGGUAAAAGAAAAGAAAAUCACACAAAAAAAAAACACGCACACCAAAGAAAAUCAGAUGAAACUCUCGGACGACAAAAAGACUAAACUAGCUAGCACUUACCUGGACUUUCCGCACUGACCUGGAGUGUUACGACGAAC